rnacentral:rRNA from 1 species
UACGAAGGGGGGCUAGCGUUGCUCGGAAUCACUGGGCGUAAAGCGCACGUAGGCGGAUUGUUAAGUCAGGGGUGAAAUCCUGGAGCUCAACUCCAGAACUGCCUUUGAUACUGGCGAUCUCGAGUCCGGGAGAGGUGAGUGGAACUGCGAGUGUAGAGGUGAAAAUUCGUAGAUAUUCGCAAGAACACCAGUGGCGAAGGCGGGUCUCUGGGACGGUAUGGACGCUGAG